UUUAUAUUUCAUUUCUUUUCCAGAAACAAGACUCACCUGCAGUUUCUGUACCACAGUCACCACAGUCUGUAUCCACAACAUCAAACAAAAAUUGGCCUUUAUUUCUCUGUUGCUGAUGUAUAUGGAGAGGCUCUCAUGGACUUCAAAGGAAUUAGAAUUUGGGCCUUUUGAAAGUGUGUCUUCAGUAAUGACCUUUUCCUACAGCCUGAAGACACAGUGAAUGGUUCCUGGUUUCUUUCCUUCCACAUGUCCCAAAUCAGUGUUUGAAUGAGCCUGAACGAUGAUGAAAUGCCUCCCAGGAGAGUCGGCAGCUUCCCGAAGAUUGAAGAGUUCAGUCGGAAGAAUACUGUGGGAGAGAACACAGGACAAAUUUUCAGCUACUGAUCUUUGACAUCAACAAGUUUGUAAUGCAUAUGAAUCUUCAUCACUCAAGGUGAAAGCAGCAUCUAAAAAAG
rnacentral:lncRNA from 1 species